rnacentral:rRNA from 1 species
AUUGAACGCUGGCGGCAUGCCUAACACAUGCAAGUCGAACGAGUGGCGGACGGGUGAGUAAUGUCUGGGAAAGUGCCUCAUGGAGGGGGAUAACUACUGGAAACGGUAGCUAAUACCGCAUACCAUCAGAUGUGCCCAGAUGGGAUUAGCUAGUUGGUGGGGUAACGGCUCACCAAGGCGACGAUCCCUAGCUGGUCUGAGAGGAUGACCAGCCACACUGGAACUGAGACACGGCCCAGACUCCUACGGGAGGCAGCAGUGGGGAAUAUUGCACAAUGGGGGCAAGCCUGAUGCAGCCAUGCCGCGUGUAUGAAGAAGGCCUUCGGGUUGUAAAGUACUUUUAGCGGGGAGGCGGUACCCGCAGAAGAAGCACCGGCUAACUACGUGCCAGCAGCCGCGGUAAUAC